rnacentral:sRNA from 1 species
CUCAAUCUGCUGUGGGCAGAUCCAGUGGAUAUGUGUAUCAAUACCACCGGCUGUAACGAUAAGUCCCUCUGCAGCAAGUGCCUCUGUAGCUGCACCAACUGUCAUUCCCGGUGUUACGCCUGCCUGUGUUCCCGGGUUACCUGCUUUACCGAUACCAGCGAUGUAACCAUCUUUGAUACCGAUAUCUGCCUUGUAGAUUCCUGUAUAGUCAAGGAUAAGGCAGUUUGUGAUAACGAGAUCAAGGUCUCCGUCAGCACUUGUUGUAGUAACUGAGCAUCCCAUACCGUCAC